rnacentral:ncRNA from 1 species
UCGAGUGGCCGAGGGAGCUCAUGUUAUGGGCUGAGAGUGGAACUAGUAAGUUUCUUACCUCUAAUACCUGAUCAGGAUAAUACCUGCGGAGGGAGGUCGUGUGUAAUUGUA